GAACCCUGUAGAGAUACGGGGGUGCCUUCGGGAACUGUGAGACAGGUGCUGCAUGGCUGUCGUCAGCUCGUGUUGUGAAAUGUUGGGUUAAGUCCCGCAACGAGCGCAACCCUUAUCCUUUGUUGCCAGCGGUCCGGCCGGGAACUCAAAGGAGACUGCCAGUGAUAAACUGGAGGAAGGUGGGGAUGACGUCAAGUCAUCAUGGCCCUUACGACCAGGGCUACACACGUGCUACAAUGGCGCAUACAAAGAGGAGCGACCUCGCGAGAGCAAGCGGAUCUCAUAAAGUGCGUCGUAGUCCGGAUUGGAGUCUGCAACUCGACUCCAUGAAGUCGGAAUCGCUAGUAAUCGUGGAUCAGAAUGCCACGGUGAAUACGUUCCCGGGCCUUGUACACACCGCCCGUCACACCAUGGGAGUGGGUUGCAAAAGAAGUAGGUAGCUUAACCUUCGGGAGGGCGCUUACCACUUUGUGAUUCAUGACUGGGGUGAAGUCGUAACAAGGUAACCGUAGGGGAACCUGCGGUUGGAUCACCUCCUUACCUUAAAGAAGC
rnacentral:rRNA from 1 species